UACGGAAGGCAGCAGUGGGGAAUAUUGCACAAUGGGCGCAAGCCUGAUGCAGCCAUGCCGCGUGUAUGAAGAAGGCCCUUCGGGUUGUAAAGUACUUUCAGUCGUGAGGAAGGUGUUAAGGUUAAUAACCUUAGCAAUUGACGUUAGCGACAGAAGAAGCACCGGCUAACUCCGUGCCAGCAGCCGCGGUAAUACGGAGGGUGCGAGCGUUAAUCGGAAUUACUGGGCGUAAAGGGCACGCAGGCGGUUAAUUAAGUUGGAUGUGAAAUCCCCGGGCUUAACCUGGGAAUGGCAUUCAAGACUGGUUAGCUAGAGUCUUGUAGAGGGGGUAGGAAUUCCAUGUGUAGCGGUGAAAUGCGUAGAGAUGUGGAGGAAUACCGGUGGCGAAGGCGGCCCCUGGGACAAAGACUGACGCUCAUGUGCGAAAGCGUGGGGAGCAAACAGGGAUUAGAUACC
rnacentral:rRNA from 1 species